GACCUCUCAACCGCUUUGGUAUUCGAUUACAAAAGUCGGCUUGGAACUUGGGUGCCUCUGGCGAAACGCAAAAGGUCUUUGCGGACCUGUCGCCCACCCCAAAGUCAGUUGGGCCAACCGCGCGGAUGAGCGGACGGUUUGACCACAGUGUUGUAAGGUUCGCCUCACUGUCGGGACGUCCAUUUCCGUCGCAUAUAGGCAUUUGAAAUACGAUACUAUUGA
rnacentral:misc_RNA from 1 species